GAGUUUGAUCAUGGCUCAGAUUGAACGCUGGCGGCAGGCCUAACACAUGCAAGUCGAACGGUAACAGGAAACAGCUUGCUGUUUCGCUGACGAGUGGCGGACGGGUGAGUAAUGUCUGGGAAACUGCCUGAUGGAGGGGGAUAACUACUGGAAACGGUAGCUAAUACCGCAUAACGUCGCAAGACCAAAGAGGGGGACCUUCGGGCCUCUUGCCAUCAGAUGUGCCCAGAUGGGAUUAGCUAGUAGGUGGGGUAACGGCUCACCUAGGCGACGAUCCCUAGCUGGUCUGAGAGGAUGACCAGCCACACUGGAACUGAGACACGGUCCAGACUCCUACGGGAGGCGGCAGUGGGGAAUAUUGCACAAUGGGCGCAAGCCUGAUGCAGCCAUGCCGCGUGUAUGAAGAAGGCCUUCGGGUUGUAAAGUACUUUCAGCGGGGAGGAAGGGAGUAAAGUUAAUACCUUUGCUCAUUGACGUUACCCGCAGAAGAAGCACCGGCUAACUCCGUGCCAGCAGCCGCGGUAAUACGGAGGGUGCAAGCGUUAAUCGGAAUUACUGGGCGUAAAGCGCACGCAGGCGGUUUGUUAAGUCAGAUGUGAAAUCCCCGGGCUCAACCUGGGAACUGCAUCUGAUACUGGCAAGCUUGAGUCUCGUAGAGGGGGGUAGAAUUCCAGGUGUAGCGGUGAGAUGCGUAGAGAUCUGGAGGAAUACCGGUGGCGAAGGCGGCCCCCUGGACGAAGACUGACGCUCAGGUGCGAAAGCGUGGGGAGCAAACAGGAUUAGAUACCCUGGUAGUCCACGCCGUAAACGAUGUCGACUUGGAGGUUGUGCCCUUGAGGCGUGGCCUCCGGAGCUAACGCGUUAAGUCGACCGCCUGGGGAGUACGGCCGCAAGGUUAAAACUCAAAUGAAUUGACGGGGGCCCGCACAAGCGGUGGAGCAUGUGGUUUAAUUCGAUGCAACGCGAAGAACCUUACCUGGUCUUGACAUCCACGGAAGUUUUCAGAGAUGAGAAUGUGCCUUCGGGAACCGUGAGACAGGUGCUGCAUGGCUGUCGUCAGCUCGUGUUGUGAAAUGUUGGGUUAAGUCCCGCAACGAGCGCAACCCUUAUCCUUUGUUGCCAGCGGUCCGGCCGGGAACUCAAGGGAGACUGCCAGUGAUAAACUGGAGGAAGGUGGGGAUGACGUCAAGUCAUCAUGGCCCUUACGACCAGGGCUACACACGUGCUACAAUGGCGCAUACAAAGAGAAGCGACCUCGCGAGAGCAAGCGGACCUCAUAAAGUGCGUCGUAGUCCGGAUUGGAGUCUGCAACUCGACUCCAUGAAGUCGGAAUCGCUAGUAAUCGUGGAUCAGAAUGCCACGGUGAAUACGUUCCCGGGCCUUGUACACACCGCCCGUCACACCAUGGGAGUGGGUUGCAAAAGAAGUAGGUAGCUUAACCCUCGGGAGGGCGCUUACCACUUUGUGAUUCAUGACUGGGGUGAAGUCGUAACAAGGUAACCGUAGGGGAACCUGCGGUUG
rnacentral:rRNA from 1 species